rnacentral:tRNA from 1 species
ACGGGCGUAGCUCAAUUUGGCAGAGCAGCGGUCUCCAAAACCGCCGGUUGCGGGUUCAAGUCCUGCCGCCCGUGCAA